CCCCUAGAUGUUCUGGGCCGCACGCGCGCUACACUGAACAGUUCAACAAGUCUUAACCUUGGCCGAUAGGUCUGGGUAAUCUUUGAACGCUGUUCGUGAUUGGGAUAGACCUUUGCAAUUAUGGGUCUUCAACGAGGAAUUCCUAGUAAACGCAAGUCAUCAGCUUGCAUUGAUUACGUCUCUGCCCUUUGUACACACCGCCCGUCGCACCUACCGAUUGAAUGGUCCGGUGAAAUCUCGGGACGGCGGCUUGGUCGCUUGCGUCCGACUGCUGAAACUUGAUUAAACCAUAUCAUUUAGAGGAAGGUGAANUCGUAACA
rnacentral:rRNA from 1 species